GCAUAAACAAAUUUACUUACAAUCUUAUUAAUUAAAAUUAAAAUUCUAAAACUGAAGCAAAAGGGAGAUAUCUUUUACUGGUUUGUAUUGGGUAAAGUGCUAGAUAUUAUCCAUAUUGGUAGCCAUUAGUACUCUUCUGCUAGUGCAAUAGAUGAGUGAUUCAGAAAUGGCAAAGACAACUAUGCUUCAAGAAAAAAUAAAGCACUU
rnacentral:misc_RNA from 1 species